UAAACGACUCUCGGCAACGGAUAUCUCGGCUCUCGCAUCGAUGAAGAACGUAGCGAAAUGCGAUACUUGGUGUGAAUUGGAGAAUCCCGUGAACCAUCGAGUCUUUGAACGCAAGUUGCGCCCGAAGCCAUCGAGCCUGGGCGUCACAC
rnacentral:rRNA from 2 species